rnacentral:rRNA from 1 species
GCAUCGAUGAAAAACGCAGCGAAAUGCGAUAAGUACGUGUGAAUUGCAGAAUUCAGUGAAUCAUCGAAUCUUUGAACGCACAUUGCGCCCUUCGGUAUUCCGUUGGGCAUGCCUGUUCGAGCGUCAUU